rnacentral:lncRNA from 1 species
CUCAUUCCAUUCUCGAUUGUUCGAUCAUCUCAUAUUAAUUAAAGUGUAAGUAAGGUUGUUUGAUUCGUAAAACUCUUCAUUUUAGAAGUACCAUGGUUUGGCCGAAUGGUAUAGGGUGAUAAUAUCAAGUUAUUUUAUUAUUGGUUUAACAUAAGAAUUAAUGUGAUUUUGUAUCAACUUUAAGGACCAAAAGACGUCGAUCAAAGAGAUUCUUAGUUUGAUAACGAAGACAACUAAUCAA